ensembl:lncRNA
AGUAUAUGAAAGGGAGAGGAAAAGAAUAAAACACUUUAAUUUUUCUUUUGAUCUCAGAGGCAGAAAGGUUUCCAGGAACAGAGCACAAUACGGUUCACCAAUUCCAGUCUCACAGGCAGCACAUCUACAGCUGAAACAGGUCUUUUGAUAGAUUCCAUGACAAAUCAAUAAGAAACACUCCACAGGGGGUUCAGCAAGUACUGGAACACAUCCAGUUAGUUGCUAGGUGAACGUCUUCGUUUUUAUAUUCUAAGUCAGUUUUUUCUUUCUUGGAUGAACUUUCUGCACAAGGAGCAGUAUGAAGGAACAAAUGAAUGCUAUUACAACCAGGGCAAUCUUUUUAUUCAGGUGAGUGCUGGCAUUAUCAUGGCUUAUUUUCAUCUCUGCUGCUACAGAGUGAUGAGGUGAACUGCACUUUAAGUUUCGGUGCAUAAUUACUUUAUCACACCACCUGCUCUCUCUUCUGUCCCUGUGACAUGAAAUAAAGACGCUGAAGACAGACUGUGGAGUAUCGCCAUCGCAUGUUAAGCUUCCUUCUCUGAGGGAUACAAUGAGCCCUGAGCUGGGCUGAGCCUCGCAGAGAAAGGCCAUAAAGAUCAGAGAUGUGAUUCUUCCUUCUCUAUGCAUUAACCAGCAGAAAUAGCCAGAAAAGCAGAGGGAAAAGCUACAGUCCACAAAGUCUUUAGUGACAACUGCUUGGAAAAUACUGCUGUAACACCGAAGAAUACAGUUUUUAUAAGACAGCUGAGAAGUACCGUGAAAGAUACAAAUUCCCUUAAUGUAUCUCUGGUCCAAGAACAGCAUCUUAUAGAAGACUUCAAGGAAGUUUUUCUAAUUCACAAUACAGGUAUCAUAGGAUGAGGUUUGUGUGCAGUGGGAAAUGUCUGCCUCUCUGUUCAUAAUCGUUCUACACUGAAGAGCAAAAGGGAUAUGGAUUGUAGGUUUCCUUUUGGCUGCCAUAAUACUCUGAGCACAAUCACAUUCUAUCUUUGAAGAAAAUCCAAAAAUUUAGUUCAUUCUAUGGCAGGAAUGUAUAACAGGAAGCAAAAACUUCAUGAACACUAAUGCCCUUUACUGAGGAUUUUAGUUUUUUUUCCUUAACUCUUGUUCCCCAUCAUCCAUACCCAAACCCAAAUCAUUUUGUGAACUAAAAGAAAAGAGUGAACUCCUUCAGGAAGUGUCCUGGCGAAAUCUCCAAUGGAAGAGGGACAGAAUCUGCAGGAUGCGACAGCCACUGUGCUACAAACCAAAAGCAUGUCUUACCUACGCUGUCUUUAAAAGCCAUUCUUCUCAAGCAAUUGGAAUGCAUAUUGAAUUCUACAGAGAUUGAAAACAUUAGAGUGAGCUUUCCUACAAAGUAAUAUGAUUUCAUUUCACCAAGGAAGAUCUCUAAGCAGUCUGUUCUAUUUGCUGGAGAAAUUCAGGUCCAGAGGUACGCCUGGCAUCCUUCACUUCAUCUCUGAUGUAGCCUUGCUUCUACUUGCUCUUCCUAAGAUCCAGCCUUGAAUCAUGUCUCUGUGACUUGCUGUCUUCAGGAACAAUAUGUACAUCAUUUUUCAUCCUGACUCCUUCAAAUGAUUUUGCCACAAGUACAUUUGCUCAAUCUUUCACUUCCAAACCUAUGAGAUGACAGAAUUGUAAAAGGCAGAGCGGACAAACAGAAAAUGGCGUGAUCCUUUUCCUUCCCAGGAGAUUCUCUUUUCUAACUACUACAUACCAAUAGACAAAGUCAAGAGUACUGUAUGGCACAAGCAUAUAGACUGCAAACAUUUCCAGAAGGGCAAUCUUCUUCUCAGGCUUUGAUGUAUUUCUGGAUAUUAUCUGCAACCAAAAUUGAGAAAGUAAUGCACUGAAGAACAGCAGACUCCAAAAUUAAAAACCUCCGGAAAGGAAGGUUAAAAUCAUACUGCAAACAGCUGUCAGCAAGAAGUACUACGCUUACCUUCUCACAAAAGCAGAUUUUUAGACUGGUUUCCUAUAUCCCACGUUAUCACCAGCUUAUCAAAAACACUGCUGUCAUUAAGAAAACUAAUUCUCCUCUCUCCAUUUCUCCCAUCUGCCUGCCUGAGGUUAUUUCUCAUCUAUGACUGGAUUACUUGCUCUGAGCAAUAACUGAUCUUCCCAGAGCUGGGAAAUAUUUGGCAAUUGUUGAGAUUCUCAUAAGAGUCUGACUGUGACAUGACACGAGAUGUUCCCUAUGUCAUGCAGGUGUGCAUGAGUGUGUUUCAAUGUAGUAACAUCAUGCCAACAAAACCUUCGAGCUGCUAACAAUUAUUUUUAAUAUGGCAUGGAAGAUAGGAGAGGUCUAAAGAAGACAAAUUCACUAUGAAGGAGGAGAUGGGAAUUAUAGAAAAGACUACUUGAGGAACAACCUAU